CUCCUUCUCAGAAGCUGACAAACGUGUGAAGCCUUCUAUGCACAAGAUCACACACACGUGUUUUCCUGUGUGGUAGGGAGUUUGGAGUGUCCUCAGACACUAGAAGUUGUCACUAAGUCACAUGCCCUGCUGUCCCCCGCUUCACCAGGCUGUCCUGGCAUUAUGGAGAGGCAAGGGAGGGUGGAAGAUGUCCCUGAACAUGUCCCCCAAGACAGAGCCAAGAAGAAGAACACCCUUUAGCCAGUUUCAGGAGACACCCCCCUUAGUCCAUGCUGGGGACUCCUUUUCUAUCCUCAACUUAACAGGCUCUCAUGUGGAGGCCCUAGGUUCUAGUCCACGCUCAGGAAACAGCCAGAGAAGAGAAUUCGGUACCUCUGGAGGCCAUGAGGGCUGCAGUGUUCCUGAGACCAGGUGUGGGUUAUCUCACUGGUCUUCCUCACAGCUAUCUAUGGGUCCAGGCUGGAAGGAAGAGAAAAGCAAACCGUUGGGACGGAGUAGGGACAACUGUAAUGGAGGCUGGGGUCUCACGACUCUGUCUGAGAGAGCAGAAAACUAAGAUCAAAGAGGGACAGGACGUUGUCCCUGCGCUGCUGCUAAGGACCCAGUCCUGGGCCUCCCUCACUCUUCCAUCACCCUAGCCAGAGCACAGACCCCCGUCCUCCUAGAUCCAUGGAAAAACAGGCAUCUGGAAACAUGUCUGUGUAAAGAGCUGCUCGGGAGAAGUGUGCUGGAAUCUGGGUUGGGAGCUGUGCAUAGCAAGGACGGCAGAUAACAUCAACUGAAGAAAUUUGUCUAUGGAUCUGGGCUACGCUGCUAGAGCUCAUGGCACUGUGAGAAGAGAAAGAAGCCCUGAGUCUGCGCACUAGCUCUGUCCUGCUGUGUAAAGACAACUUCUCCCGGGGCAUCAAGAAGGUCCUGCCAGAAACAAGAGCCAUGCCUGGUGGAGCAAGAUUCCUAGGAUCACCAGCCCACGACAUGGAGACUUAGUACUAGCUAUAAAUGUCAGCUCUUCAUUUAGGGUUUCCACGGAUACUCCGGACACAACUGGCCCUCACUUCCUGCAGAACACAUCUAGACUCUCCUUCAAGCUUUCCCUGCCAAGCCCUGGUCCUGACAGGUUCUCUCUGCCAGCCUGGUCCAGCUGUGGAUCUCCAUGCUGCCCUGGCCAUUCCCAGGAUAGUCCAUGUGCAGCUGCUGGUCUUGAUGUACCUCAGUCGGAGAGCGGCGGUGAGAGCCACAGAUGCCUGACCAUCCUGUGUGGAAGCCAUACCCCAGGUUGCCCUUCCUUCUGGACUUCGUGUUUUCCAGACAUUAGUUUCCAGACUUGGGAACAAUAACACAGUGACCAACAAGUGACCCAGUUGUGACUAGCCAGACAUAAGGAAGGCUAUAGCACAGGCUCUUGCUACAGGCACUAAUGUGACAGGAUCGCUGCUGUCCCUACCUCAUGUGCCCUGUUUCAUAGGCGACAGGACCCCAGCGGCUGUCAGGAAGGAAGACUGGCAUUUGGGGUGAUCUUAUACUUGGGUGAAAUGUCUGUACUCUGACUUUCCUGUCUCUUGUCACUCUGUGCUGGUGGCCUAGCCCAGUGGUAAAGCCCUUGUUCAAUGCAUAGGUCCAGGACUGACACCUAGCACCACAAAAGAAAUCAAGGAAAGAGAAAGGAAAGGCCAGCUGUCCUUCAUGCUUCCCUUGAGCCCUCCCACACAAUCAGCUACACAAAGAACCCCUUAGCAUUGGCAUCCUGUGGAUGUGAGUCAGGAGGGAGUGUGAAGCCCAGGCUGGGAGCCAGCUGAAGCCUAGGCUGGGAGCCUCCCUUCCCUAGCUGUGCACAAGCUCUUCAGAGGAACAAAGAGAGGCUCUCAGCAAGUCUUGAUUCCUGGUGUCUGUGGGAAAUCUUCCUAGGGAAAGGAGACAGAGGCUCAGGACAGCAUAAACCUAAGAAUUUUUAUCAGCUGUCAGGGUCACAUUCAAGCCCAUGUACACUGGACAGGGGGUCUCCUGCCUACCUCAGUCCCUCCCUUCACUCUAUUCUCUCCAUUAGACCCCCACCUCCAAGCAGUCUCCAGAACCCCAGGCCUGUGCUGAGUCUCUCCUUCACCGGAAAUGUCACCCAGUCUCACGUGGUGCCAGGAUCAACCAGCACCGCCUCAUUCCAUGUGCCCAGACUGCUGUUCUCUGGACUCUGGAGACAUUCACUGGACACAGAGCCACUAGCGUCCGAGGA